CCCCGCUAGCCUCAGCCCCGCUAGCCUCAGUGUGCUCUCCUGGACUGCAAAGCCAAAGACUACGAGCUCCCUCCUUUCCCUCUGGUUUUAUUAAUAAUAACCCUUGAACUUUAAUCCUGCUUGUCUUUUCUGCAUUUGGGUCCACCAGUUUUACCAAUCGUGACAGAACGAUCUGGCCUUUUUCAAUGGACCCAGCAGAUUUUGACCGUGUGAGAGAGGCCCUUGCCAAUCAAGGACAGCGUUUGGGAAACCAUGACCAACUACUACAGACACUUAUUGACCAGAUGUCACGCGUUUCCACCCAGCUCACCACUCUCAUCAACAAGCUCAACCACAACCCGAACCACCUGCACCCCCUGCUGUUCCUGCUGCAGAGCCACACAUCCCCCCGCCUGAUAAGUACUCUGGCAAUCCUAGCACUUGUCGUGAAUUUUUAACUCAGAUCCAGCUUGCUUUUGAUGCUCAGCCCUCUCGCUUUGGCCGUGAGGCAGCCAAAAUUGCUUACGUAGCCAACCUGCUACAGGGGCCCCCUUUGAGUUAUUUCAAUGCCCUUCGUGAGCAAGGAUCCCCCGCAGUCCAGUCUUUUGCUGCACUAUCUGCAGAAAUGAAGCGGGUCUACGACCACCCCAUACGAGGGCAGCAAGCAGGUCAGCAGUUGUUGCGACUUCGUCAAGGGAAAAGCUCAGUAAGAGAAUUUGCCUGUGAAUUCCGGUCCCUAGCUGUGGAGUCUGGCUGGAAUGACAAGGCCCUUCUCACUGCUUUUCAGAAUGGGCUUAGUCGGGUCAUUGGAAGGGAGAUUGCUCUGAGGAAUGAGCAGCUGUCCCUAGACGAAGCUAUUACUGCAGCUAUCAACAUCUCUGACCAGAUGGCCCAGUGGCAAGCUGACCCCGUGCCUUGCAGGUCAUCGGAACCCCCCAGCUUUAGACCCAGGCCGGCCGGGCCCAACUUGCCAAUGUGCACAGCCUCAACCUCCAGUUCCCCUGUUGAGGAGCCCAUGCAGGUGGGCCGGGCUCACCUUACACCUGAAGAGCGCCUCCGCAGAAGGAGGGCAGGGGUGUGUCUCUAUUGUGGUCAACCUGGCCAUUUCCUUGCCACCUGUUCUAUGCGGCCAAAAGAGUAGGCUCACCAGUAACAGUGGGGGUUCUGGUGAGCCAAGCUUUCUCCUCCCCUAAGUCCCUAUGCCGAAUGCAGUUUUCUGCUACUCUCCGUUGGCAAUCCCAGUCCUUGUCUCUCCUUGCUCUGGUGGACUCGGGGGUGGAUGAAAAUUUUUUGGACGCCGACGUUGCUUCCCAAGUGGGCAUUACCAUCGAGCCACUUCCCUCACCCUUGCAAGCCAAUUCCCUGACUGGUCGACUCCUUGCCCGUGUCACUCCCCAUAUGGCUCCUUUUGUGGUCGUUGAGUUCCUUGGUGAACAUUCAGUCGCUGUUGUCCCAACCAAAUGGACAGAAGAUGAUGGAAAGAAUACCUUCUGCUGUUGGCCAAGGCCAAAUCCUGCCCACUCCAGAAUCCGGAAAGCUGAGAUUCCUGACAAACAAUUCUGGGAGAGGCUGCCAAUUCGGGUUUUCAGGAAACAUUGACUGAAGACUUUGACAAGGCUCUUCAAUACGAAAAACAAGCUGAAAUGUUUUCGAGCCCAGAAGUGUUAACCAAACGGAGCCACAUCACCCCUGAACGUUAUAGAAACGAUGAGGAAGAUGUGUUUGAUGCUGAUGAUGAAGAGGAAAUUCGGCUAAAAAAGAAGUGCAGAAAAGAGAAAACACAGAUCUUCGUCCAGGCACCCCCACUGCCAGAGCUCCCAACCUUUAACUUUCCAAUCUCCAGCGAGUGCCAGACCACUUCAGCCAGUACCAGCCAAUACCAGACCACUCCAAGGCAUCCAGGCCGACCUCACAGCCCAGCGAGAAGCAGCACUUCCAGGCUCAGUCCAGACAGGAAUGCAUCCAGCUCAAGCCAGUACCAGACCACUCCAGCCAGUACGAGUCAGUACCAGACCGCUCCAAGAAGCAGCAGGAAUGCCCUUGACAGUGAACUUGAACAUGAAAGUUCAAAAUAUACUUGAGAACCAGGGAGAAAUUAUGCGCAUGCUGAGAGGGCUGGCAGCACAGUCUGUGGGGCCAGAAUCUGUGGAUGUUCAAGAUCUCAUUGAUCAGCCUUUCGAGACUCUUGAGCAGCUGAAGGCCUUCUGUGAACGGCUCGACACUGAUCUUCUGCUCAGAAAGCAGCUGGUGAAAGCUCUUACUGCUCUUGGUGGGCAGAAUUUGGCAGACACGGUGAGGACAAUGCUGAGGAAAAUUGCCACAAAGUCCUGGAGCAGCUUGGCCUCCGUGGAAAGUCAGGAAAAGUGGCGUUUGAGGACUUGCCCCUUUACAGAAUAAUAAAUAAGGCAUGCAGGGGUGUUUACAAGCAGACGACCACAGCUGAAGUGGAUUGUGAGCUUGGAGAGGUCCUGAAACUGGCCACUUUUUGAAAGGGAGGUUCAAAAUUUGAGGAGAAGAGGAGGAAUUAAGAGGGAGGACAAAAAAGGAAAAAGAAACAAGCAAAAGAACAGAGUGAGAUGAGAGGAUUUGGUUUUCCCUGCUUGGGCUGCUGCCCCCGCGACCCGACCUCGGAUAAGCGGAAGAAGAUGGAUGGAUGGAUUUACUUCCAGGAAGAGAACCAAGAAGGGGCAGGAUACACUGACGCGCACGACCAAGACCACUGCAUUCCAUUCCAUUUAUAAAUGAUAAAUGAUAAAUGGGUUAUAUGUCAAAGCGCUUUGAGUACCUUGAAGGUAGAAAAGCGCUAUACAAGUGUAUACUUGUAUAGCGCUUUUCUACCUUCAAGGUACUCAAAGCGCUUUGACAGUAUUUCCACAUUCACCCAUUCACACACACAUUCACACACUGAUGGAGGGAGCUGCCAUGCAAGGCGCUACCAGCACCCAUCAGGAGCAAGGGUGAAGUGUCUUGCCCAAGGACACAACGGACGUGCCUAGGAUGGAAGAAGGUGGGGAUUGAACCCCAGUAACCAUCAACCCUCCGAUUGCUGGCACGGCCACUCUACCAACUUCGCCACGCCGUCCCCAUUUUUGUAUUAUAUCACUAAUAAAGAAUUAUUUCUGUUGAAAUCACUAUCACAAAUAAAUAAUUAAU